GAUGAACGCUGGCGGCGUGCCUAAUACAUGCAAGUCGAACGCUUUGUGGUUCAACUGAUUUGAAGAGCUUGCUCAGAUAUGACGAUGGACAUUGCAAAGAGUGGCGAACGGGUGAGUAACACGUGGGAAACCUACCUCUUAGCAGGGGAUAACAUUUGGAAACAGAUGCUAAUACCGUAUAACAAUGACAACCGCAUGGUUGUUAUUUAAAAGAUGGUUCUGCUAUCACUAAGAGAUGGUCCCGCGGUGCAUUAGCUAGUUGGUAAGGUAAUGGCUUACCAAGGCGAUGAUGCAUAGCCGAGUUGAGAGACUGAUCGGCCACAAUGGGACUGAGACACGGCCCAUACUCCUACGGGAGGCAGCAGUAGGGAAUCUUCCACAAUGGGCGAAAGCCUGAUGGAGCAACGCCGCGUGUGUGAUGAAGGGUUUCGGCUCGUAAAACACUGUUGUAAGAGAAGAAUGACAUUGAGAGUAACUGUUCAAUGUGUGACGGUAUCUUACCAGAAAGGAACGGCUAAAUACGUGCCAGCAGCCGCGGUAAUACGUAUGUUCCAAGCGUUAUCCGGAUUUAUUGGGCGUAAAGCGAGCGCAGACGGUUAUUUAAGUCUGAAGUGAAAGCCCUCAGCUCAACUGAGGAAUUGCUUUGGAAACUGGAUGACUUGAGUGCAGUAGAGGAAAGUGGAACUCCAUGUGUAGCGGUGAAAUGCGUAGAUAUAUGGAAGAACACCAGUGGCGAAGGCGGCUUUCUGGACUGUAACUGACGUUGAGGCUCGAAAGUGUGGGUAGCAAACAGGAUUAGAUACCCUGGUAGUCCACACCGUAAACGAUGAGUGCUAGGUGUUUGAGGGUUUCCGCCCUUAAGUGCCGCAGCUAACGCAUUAAGCACUCCGCCUGGGGAGUACGACCGCAAGGUUGAAACUCAAAGGAAUUGACGGGGACCCGCACAAGCGGUGGAGCAUGUGGUUUAAUUCGAAGCAACGCGAAGAACCUUACCAGGUCUUGACAUCCCUUGACAACUCCAGAGAUGGAGCGUUCCCUUCGGGGACAAGGUGACAGGUGGUGCAUGGUUGUCGUCAGCUCGUGUCGUGAGAUGUUGGGUUAAGUCCCGCAACGAGCGCAACCCUUAUUACUAGUUGCCAGCAUUCAGUUGGGCACUCUAGUGAGACUGCCGGUGACAAACCGGAGGAAGGUGGGGAUGACGUCAAAUCAUCAUGCCCCUUAUGACCUGGGCUACACACGUGCUACAAUGGCGUAUACAACGAGUUGCCAACCCGCGAGGGUGAGCUAAUCUCUUAAAGUACGUCUCAGUUCGGAUUGUAGGCUGCAACUCGCCUACAUGAAGUCGGAAUCGCUAGUAAUCGCGGAUCAGCACGCCGCGGUGAAUACGUUCCCGGGUCUUGUACACACCGCC
rnacentral:rRNA from 1 species